GCCGUACCACCUUGAUCAUGCCUGAUCUUGUCUGAUCUUGGAAGCUAAGUAGGGUUGGACCUGGUUAGAACUCAAAUGGGAGAAAAAAUAAAAUGUAAGAAAAGCAACUACUUGGGAGAACGGGUCAAACUAGCU
rnacentral:rRNA from 1 species